rnacentral:rRNA from 1 species
GGCUCCUUGUAUAAUAUUAAAUAGGGAGUCGGACCUGCCCGGUGAAGUUUUUAAACGGCCGCGGUACUCUGACCGUGCAAAGGUAGCAUAAUCAUUUGCCUUAUAACUGAAGGCUAGUAUGAAUGGUUUGACAAGAGUGUAACUGUCUCUUUACAAUUAAUUAAAAUUUUAUUUUCAGGUGAAGAAGCCUGUAUGUAAUUGAAAGACAAGAAGACCCUAUCGAGCUUAAAAAGAAUUAAUAAACCUAAUUUCCAAUAAGAUAUUAGAUCUGUUUAUUAUAUACUUUAGUUGGGGCGACUAAGGAACAAUUAAAGCUUCCUUUAUUAUAAAAACUAAACUGACAAGUUUUGAUCCAAAAGCUUUGAUUAAAGAAAUUAGUUACCGUAGGGAUAACAGCAUUAUUCUCUUUGAGAGCUCUUAUCGAAAAGAGAGUUUGUGACCUCGAUGUUGGACCAGAAUGUCCUAAAGAUGCAGCCGUCUUUAAGGGUUGGUCUGUUCGACCAUUAAAAUUCUACGUGAUCUGAGUUCAGACCGGCGUGAGCCAGGUCAGUUUCUAUCUUCAAUUAAAUUAAUAAACUUAGUACGAAAGGACCAGAUUAUUGCAAACAUUAUUGUUGAUACGCAGAUUAAAUAUAAUUAGUUUAUUAAAACUUAAAUCUAACAGAAUUAGAUCAAAUUAGCAAAGAUAAUGCAAUUGACUUAGGAUCAAUAGACAUAGGUGAAAUCCCUUUAUUUGAUAUAUUAUAUAGCAUAAAUAAAGGUGGCAGAAUAAA